ACUGGGUGUUGAGCGCUAUGUAGCUAUAAAGUUUGCCGGGCUCAGCUGUAGAUUUCCUUAACACAUACUGCUGACAUCACUGAGUCUCCUCUCAAACUAUUUUUUUUACUCUCUCUCUUUCCCCCUCCCUCCUUCUCCUCCCUCCCUCCCUUCCUCCAGUUUCUUUAUUCAGGUAAUUCCAACUCAGACUUAUUCCAACUUGUUUUUUACUGACAGUGACGGGAGACUCUCUGAGGGUUGUGUUUUGGUUUGUUGUUUUUUUGUUCUUAAACCAUGCACACAUGACUUAUUGAAAAGACAUUCAACCUUUUAUGAAAAAGAUUGUUUGACUUGUCAUGACGAUAACAUCUAGUAAGGAAUCUGAACAUUGCUCUUUUACAGGUGUAUUUUCCAUAUUUGAUAGGAAGCUUGUGAAGGGGAGAAUUAAAUGUAUGUCAAAUGGAAGCUAUUUUGGAACGGCAUAAGAGAAGUCUUAAACAUGAAGGGAGCAAAAAAUCAGAGGGAAUAAGCAUUGAUGAGGAAGAGGAAUGAGAUGGAACAGAGAGCAAAAGAAAGAAGAGCUAUGAAGGCCAGGCAGUAGGUGUGGAAAAGUUAGGCUCUGAGCUUUGUGGGUAUGAAGUAAUGAAAGACAUGUUUGCAUUAAUGAAAAAAAAAAUUAUGGUCAAAAUAGUAAAAAAGGAAAUAAGAUUUUAACCCUAAAAGUUUGAGUAAUUUGUCCAUGGAACGUAAGAGGAGGACUGUGAACAAAAGACACAUUGGGAAACAAUUAAUAAAAUGAAGAAAAUGAAGAAAAGAUUAAUUUUGGACAACAUUGUGGGAUCAAGCCAACUGCAGACAAGAAGUCUGAACCAUACAGCAAGUGAAGCAGAGGAAAUGCCUUCAUAAAGGAUAUUUCUUUUGGCAAAAGACAGGGUUUGACAGCAUGUCACCAGAGCAGUGAAUGAAGAAUUUUUCUGCAUUGCCAUUAAGCUGUCAUCUGACUGCUGGUGGAGUCACAGUCUCUGGGACUUUCAGCAAUGGCAUUAUCUUAACCCCAGUUUGAAAUUUGUUGCAACAAUUUGAUAUAUUCAUAGUCCUGCUUAGCUACUUUUUGCAACCACUUCUCUUUAGCAGUUGUCUACAAAAUAUGAAUUCUGUUCAAUAGCACUAAAAUAGCAUAUAACCAGCACUAAAAUAACAUUUAAGCAUCCACUAGGUCUAGUUUCACAUUUCCCAUCAUGUGUGUUUUUCAAUGAAAAUGGUGGCUUUAUUAAAUUAAAUAUUACAGGAAAAGUACAGAGGGUUAGAGAUCAAAAAGGUUGAUUUUUCCACUGGAAGAAUGAUCUUUUGUGGGAUAUGUAGUUGAUUUCUUCAUACCCCAGUUACUUUUUGUGCCUGGACUUCUCAGGCAGACUAUAUUUCCAUUGAUGUAUCAAGCGUUAGAACAAGGCGACAGAAAGUAAUUGGGGAAUGGUGGUAUUUUUUUGUUCUCAUAAAUCAGGCUGCUUGGAAAACAUCAAAGCAACUUCUGAAAUUCACAGCAUCUGUAAAACUCACAAAAAACAAGGUAGAAGUUGCUGAAUAUUGUAGAAUAUUAAAAAUAAGUUUGCGGUACUCUGAACGUAGUUGGAAACUAUUCUCAGCAGAACAUGAACAAUGUUCUAUUCAGUCUAAUUACCUUCAGUGAUCAAAGCUAGACCUUCCCAAGUUCCCAACUGUAAAAGAUUGUGGAGCUUUUGAGAUGACAUGGAAUCAUGAAGGAACAGUCAUAAAGAUAAGGGAUGUGUAAAUAAACAAGCAAAAUAACCUCCUUUGAGUAUAAGGAAACGUAGUAACUUUGAAAAACAGCAUGAGCUUUUUUUUCUUGUUUGGGCACAUUCUCUCUGCUUUUUUUUUUACAGCCUGUUGCAGCAUAAAACCACAAAGCUUUUACAGAGGCUCCCAAGAAACUAUAGGACAAAAAGAAAAAUGACUAGUGAUGAAAAUCACACAGUUAUGUCCCCAGAGUCCACCAAUGGGGACAGGCACUGCAUCUGCUGUAUUCUCUUAGAGGAACAGUAGCUCUUUGCACAAGCUUCACUUGUCACCAGACCAGCCAGGAAACUUGUGUGGUCUUUACAGUUACAGAAGGCUGAGAUUUGUCGGCCAAAAGUCUUAUGGGUCGAACAUGCAGGUUUAGGUCAGAUGAAAAUGAAAUGUAUUAAAAUGAACAAGACAGAGCAGCUUUGACUGAGAAGUCUGAAAACAAUUUUGAAAAGUAAAAAAUAUUAUUUAGACUUUCUGGAAGCAUGAUGCUGUGAUCUGUCACUGCAGGCACUGUUGUGUCCCUCACUUGAUUUAACUUAGACACACACACACGUCUAUGCAAACCUCAAAGCAAAAUGAAAGGUUUAGUUUUGGUUUGAACAAACAGCAUCGUCAGUCCAGAGUGAUUACUUUUUCCUAAUGUCGCCAGAAAAUUUGAAGCUUUUUUUUUGUUUUGUUUGUUUUGAUAUUUUUGGUUUGGCAAGAGAAUCAAAAAACAUUGAUGUGCACCAGUACAUUCAUGCUAUUUCCUCCCUUUCAGAAGCCACAGCCUUUGCAGCAGACUGAGGGGUCUGUGUCAUGGAAAUUGGCAGGGAUUGAGUAAUUUGGGAAAGCCAUGAGGAAAACAAAUAUUCUUUUCCCUCUGAUUCCUUGGGAGUUUAUCUGGAAGACAUAUAAUCCUGGGCUGUGUAACCUUCCAGUCAAGAACUCAGGAAACAGCUUUUUCUUAAAAAUAGUAUUUUUUUAUUCCAAUUUUUGCAGUAUAAGUUUGUGUGCAACAAUAAUAUUUUGCUGAUGAAAAGGAUAAAUAAUUAACCUAGCAUAUUUUCAUUUCCAUCCCCUCACAAAGAAUGGAUACAAAACAGCCCACACAUUUAAAUCCAUGGGCUAAUUUCAGCUUAACUUGGCAGGUGAACAGAGGCUUCAGAAAUUACGUUCCAACAAGCCUCAUGAAACCAGGUGGCUCUGUAAGUCAGAAAGACUUUAUUAAUGCCUUCACUGAAAAGAGGAAAUCAAGGGGGACCAGCCUUAACCAGACAUCGGAGAAUCCCCAUAGAGGCAAGUGCAAUGGAAAAGGCUUUUCACAAAGCUUAUAUGUUGUUACAGCCCUGAGAUUCAACCUGGAGAUGCAAUAGCAGGAGGGAACAG